AUGCCCACCAUCUCUAGUGUCCGGCUAAAGAAGUGGGUACACCCAGAAGUUGAAUGGGUGAAAAUGAAUGUCGAUGCUGCAAUCCCACGUAAUCAGGACAGGGUAGCCUUUGCGGCAAUUUGUCGAGAUCAUACGGGGUUGUUUUUGGGCGCCUCAGCUGUAACAGUGGAUGAUCUGUUCGAUCCAGAAACACUUGAAGCAAUGACACGCAACGAAGGUCUGUUAUUGGCACUCGAGGUCGGUGUACAAAAGCGAAGCGACGGGAAACUUUGUGGUGGUGGUGAGAGCGAGGCCGAGUCAGUUAGGUGGUCGGCCCACUUGGCGGCUGGGUGCCUUAAAAAGGAAGGGGGUAUGGCUAUGGCGCUGCGCACCAUGGCCGCCAAGCUGAAGCAGAAGAUCCCCGCCGCUGUCCAGCGGGUUCGCGUCUCUUCUCGUGCUCCGGUUCGUUCCCCAUCUCGAUUUUCUCGCCCCCUUCCGAGUCUUUGA
rnacentral:rRNA from 1 species